AAUGCAAUUUCAGGCCAUUUACUGUAAUAGUCUAUCAAGGUUAUAGCAAAUCUACAGUCUAUAGGAGCAUCUGUAACAGGACCGACAAAAUCAUUAGCAAGUUUUCCCCAUGCUGAAUCAGGGAAUGGUACUGGAAGAAGUGGUGGUGUAUGUGUGAUAGCUGUUUUGUCAUGAUUCUGACAAGUAACUCAAGAAUGAAUGGCAGUUACCACAUCAGCACAGUUUGCUAUCAUACAAUAACGAUGAGACACAGAUAACAUCAUCAGCCACUGAUUCUAACUGAUGCCAUUCCUAAGCAAAGUUUCUAAGGAUAUAUUUUUAGAGCAAGAUGACAAGGUUAAGAAUGAGUUUCCACAAGUGGUUGGAACUAUCUCUGGUAGCUAUGCCAACAGUUAUGUAUUGGACAGACUAUGAAGACAAAUAUUUUCUUUGUUAAAGAACUGCCAGGUUAUAGCUUUGGAAAACUUUCAAAAAUGCUACAUUUUCCCCAUGAUUCUGUAAUUCUUUCCAUUAUUAUGUAGAUACAUUGGUCGGCGAAGAUCUCUGCUUUAAUAUAAACACGAAAGGUACUGUUUAUGGAUACUGUAAAAAAGUUGGACGCACCUACAAACCCUGUGAACCUGAGAAUGUGAUGUGCGGAGUGCUGUAUUGCAACAGUGAUAACAAAUAUCCGACAGUUCCUGGUCCUGUUGCUGUGAAGGGUGAAUGCAAAGCCCUUCUAGUUCCUGGAGGAAUGGUGCAGAAUGGAAUAAAAUGUGGAGAUGGGAAGGCAAGUGUCCAUAAAUGCCAUUAUAGAUAGUCGAUAAUGAUCAUUUGGAAUUAGGCUGUUAUGUUAAUUAGAUCUGUAGAUUCUGUAAGUAUUUGGAAACUAAGAAAUGUAUGUUGUCCCUGGUUGCCUCGGGGAACUAGUGAUUGUAAGCUCCCUGGCAAUAAUGUCAUCCCUCUAAACGUUGCUACAAAUGCUAUCAUCCCUGGAGAACAAUUAAUAUCUAGACGCAGGGACGUGACAUGACCCCAAAGUGUCAAUCUAAUAAGCUAUUUAGGUCCCUCAGCACAGGUUACACCAGUGUUAUUUGAUUCUUCCAUUCAGUCUGGUGAUGGUAUCGUACACACAACAUUAUCUGAAGGUCCAGAUGACUUCUGAGACUACUCUCUCCCCAUUUCUAGGACUUACAGUAUGUCUCUCUUGUUCCCUUCCCAGGUUUGUUACGGCAAUGAAUGUGUGUCUGUUAAAACUGCCUUUGGCUAAUCUGGGUGUGACGGCAAGUGCUCAGGAAAUGGGGUACCAGUGACCAAGACCUAGAUGACCCUCCUCAUACUGAAUACUUUAUUGGCAUGGACACAAUGUAGAGGCUGAUCAACUGGUCCGAACCAAGAAUUGCUUAGAUUUUAGUGUAAAGAAUCAUUUUAAGUUAGAAACACAAACAAUAAAAGUUUAUAACACUCACAAAACAGUGGUCUGUAUGUUUUUCCGAAGGCUUCAGGGUGAAUUCUACAUUGGCAGAAUUCAUCUAUUACAUUCAUUUAAAUAUAUAUCUCUUCUGAGACUAUAUAUUCUUCUUCCUUUUGUUUGUCAUUCUAAAGAAACAAAAUACUAAAUACAGAGGGUAAAUAGUUUCACUGCACUUAAAUGAUGGGACCUGUUAUACAGAAUGCUUGGGACCUGGGGUUUUCCACAUAAGGGGUCUUUCUGU